UUCACCCCCAAGAGGAGGUGAAAACCACCCCCAGGGCAAAAGCACAUAUCGGCACAAUAUCACUUUUUUUCCUUGACUUGUUAGCUAUGUGUAUGCCAAAUUUCAUGUCAAUCCAAGCGGUUCUUUAAAAUUUAGAGCAAAAACCGUGAAAGAAUGGACUAGAAGGCGCAUAAAUUUUUUGUAAAAUUGUAAAAGAUUUUACGUUUUCCAGGACGAUAACAUCCUUGUAAGAUUCCUUUUGAGGAUCAAAUGGCGCCGCCGCCGUGAUCUUAGCCACCAACUCCAUUAGCAAUUUGUCUUCCUCACCAGUAAAUUUUUACCCGAAUAAUUACAAGACUAGAAAAAAAGUUGGAUUUCUACCAACCCCGAGAACAAGCUGGC
rnacentral:lncRNA from 1 species